rnacentral:rRNA from 1 species
AACGCUGGCGGCGUGCCUAAUACAUGCAAGUCGAACGGUCUUUCUAUGGAAGCUUGCUUCCACUGAGAAGAUAGUGGCGAACGGGUGAGUAACACGUGGGUAACCUGCCCAUAAGAGGGGGAUAACAUCCGGAAACAGGUGCUAAUACCGCAUAGUUUUCUUGAUCGCAUGAUCGGGAAAGGAAAGACGGCCUUUGUGCUGUCGCUUAUGGAUGGACCCGCGGCGUAUUAGUUAGUUGGUGAGGUAACGGCUCACCAAGACGAUGAUACGUAGCCGACCUGAGAGGGUGAUCGGCCACAUUGGGACUGAGACACGGCCCAAACUCCUACGGGAGGCAGCAGUAGGGAAUCUUCCGCAAUGGACGAAAGUCUGACGGAGCAACGCCGCGUGAGUGAAGAAAGGUUUUCGGAUCGUAAAACUCUGUUGUCAGAGAAGAACAAGUUGGAGAGUAACUGCUCCAGCCUUGACGGUAUCUGACCAGAAAGCCACGGCUAACUACGUGCCAGCCGCCGC